rnacentral:rRNA from 1 species
GGAACACGUACGCAACCUUCCUUUAAGCGGAGAAUAGCCCAGGGAAACUUGGAUUAAUACUCCAUAAGAUUAUGGUGUGGCAUCACACAGUAAUUAAAGCUCCGGCACUUAAAGAUGGGCGUGCGGCUGAUUAGGUAGUUGGCGGGGUAACGGCCCACCAAGCCUACGAUCAGUAACUGGUGUGAGAGCACGACCAGUCACACGGGCACUGGAGACACGGGCCCGAAUCCUACGGGAGGCAGCAGUAAGGAAUAUUGGUCAAUGGGCGCAAGCCUGAACCAGCCAUGCCGCGUGCAGGAAGACGGCCCUACGGGUUGUAAACUGCUUUUGCAGGGGAAUAAACCUCCCGACGUGUCGGGAGUUGAAUGUACCCUGAGAAUAAGGAUCGGCUAACUCCGUGCCAGCAGCCGCGGUAAUACGGAGGAUCCGAGCGUUAUCCGGAUUUAUUGGGUUUAAAGGGUGCGUAGGCGGCUUUUUAAGUCAGGGGUGAAAGACGGUAGCUUAACUAUCGCAGUGCCCUUGAUACUGAAGAGCUUGAAUGUACUAGAAG